UGGACGGCGGUUUGAUCAAACGAACUUGCGACCCAUGGCAGAGGUAUCUUUUCCUCGCGAACUCCAGCCCAGCGAAAUACAGAGAAAAGAGGCCUCUGCUAGCAGGGAAACCGAGCGCCUAAAAAGAUUGUUAACAAGUUUUCGAAGGAGACGAUGAUUUGAGGGUAUCGUCCACCUCACGACCUGUAAGUGAGUGAACAGAAGGACGACGAGUGAGCAAAAGGGAUUACGUCUCCAUCGUCGUGUCAUCGACGAGAAUUAUCAACAGCAGGAUAAAAUAAGCCAGGUGAGACGGUGAGAAUAAACCGGUAACUAAUAGCGGGCUUGCUUAAUUUUAGCCAGCUGCGGCAUCAGCUUCCAAACACAUUAAACAGUUCUUAUAAAUAUAAAAGAAGAGAAGUAGUCAUGUGGCGAUAUGUCUGUAAGCCCUGGGUGCAGACUUACCGUCAUAAUCAGGCGGAGGAAUGUAGAAGCCAUCAUUUUGCACGGGCUGUGACUGUUGGACACCUGCCGAUUGUCCUCGCGUGUUUUUCUCGGGAAGUUCCACGUUCUCGCUCUUUGGGUGGACGGGCGAAGCGCGCCCGGACUUGUUGUGACGAUCAGAUACUUGUGCUGAGAGGUAUGGCGCGGGACCGAUAGACGAUAGGAGGACGGGUAGGUAAGCCAUGCCAUGCCACAUGCCAAACAGAACCACCAGGAAGAAGAUCUAUGAUAGAUAAUGAGCAGCUUAGACAGGCCAAGAGACAGGCUAGACAGGAAUGGAUGUAGGCUAGACAGGCAAGGGAGCAGGCUAGACAGGCAAGGGUGUAGGCUAGACAGGCAAGGGUGUAGGCUAGACUGGCAAGGGUGUAGGCUAGACAAGCAAGGGUAUAGGCUAGACAGGUAAGGGUGUAGGCUAGACAGGUAAGGGUGUAGGCUAGACAGACAAGGGUGUAGGCUAGACAAGCAAGGGUGUAGGCUAGACAGGUAAGGGUGUAGGCUAGACAGACAAGGGUGUAGGCUAGACUCGAAAGGGUGCAGGCUAGACUGACAAGGGUGUUGGCUAGACAGGCAAGGGUGUAGGCUAGACAGGCAAGGGAGCAGGCUAGACAGGCAUGGGUGUAGGCUAGACUGGCAAGGGAGAAUAUACUUAAGUACAAGAGAGCAAGCUAGACUGGCAUGUUAGGAAGAUCUACAUAUGAUAGGUGACGAGUAGCUUUGACAAGGAAGGGGUAAGGAAAAUAAGGGGUACGAUGGCAGCACAGAGAACAAGUUAGCAGGCAACAAACAAGAAAGAAACCAGUUUUACCGAAAAUGCUUAGAGAUAGCAAACCAGAUUUAAAUGAUCCUUGUGAGACUGACCUUGAAAAAUACGCCAAAGAUGUAGGAGUCUGACGCUGCAAGAAGAACAAAGGCGAGGAACGUGCUGAAGCCUCCGUUCAACACUGCUGGGCCCAUGUCACGCAUUGUGAUGCGAGCCCGGUCUGUAGGGAAAAAAACACGAAAUAUAUAACAAUACAAUAUACAAUAAAAUAUAUAACCGAAUUAAUUACAUACCUUCGUGCGUGCCUGGAGUGAUCAUGAACAUGUGCCCAAUAUGCGAAGAGUAGUCCACUGCUAAGCCAACCGCAAGCACCAGCUGGAUCGUGGUGAUGGUGUCGAUAGUCAGACCCCAAAAGUACAUAAACCCGCACAGGUCCACCUAGAAUACGGAACAAUAUCUGAACGCAUAAGCAAGACUGGCUAAGCCUACCAAUAAAAGAAUCUUUCCAAAGAAGUAUUAACGAAGUUACUGCAAGUCUGUAGACAUCCACAGUCGCAGCACUUUUUAGACUUGGGUGAGUUUCCUGUCUUUGGUUCAUCCGCCAUGGCCGCGAUCGGUGACAACCGUCAACACAGCUGCUUAUCAACAAA